rnacentral:misc_RNA from 1 species
UAGGAAAGUCAUAAAUAUAUAAAUUAUAUUAUAUAAUUAAUAUAAUAAUAAAUAAAUUAUAUAUUUUAUUUAUAAUAUUAUUUCUUUAUAAUAUAAAAUAUUAUCUGAUGAAUAAUUAGAUUUAAUAAUAUUUAUAAAGAAAUAUAUAUAAAAAGUUAUUAUAUAAAUUUAAUUAUAAUUUAAAUAAAUUUUAUAUAAAUUAAUAUAAUAUUAAUAAAGUAAUUAGUAUAAAUAAAUAAUAUGAAAAUAAAACUUAAUAAAUAUAUAAAUAUAAUCCAUAUAUAUAUAUUAAUAAAAAAAAGUAAUAUAUAUAUAUAUUGGAAUAGUUAUAUUAUUAUACAGAAAUAUGCUUAA